rnacentral:rRNA from 1 species
CGAACGGAGUGUGUGGAAGGUAACGGAAGCACACUUAGUGGCGGACGGGUGAGGAAUAGAUAGGUAACGUACCCCGGACUCAGGAAUAGCGGCGGAACUUCGGUUCCUUUGCGAAAGUGCCGGUAAUACCUGAUGAUAUCAUUGGAUCGCAUGGUCCGGUGAUCAAAGGUCCGCAGGUCUGGGAGCGGCCUAUCUCCUAUCAGCUUGUUGGUGGGGUAACGGCCUACCAAGGCUUCGACAGGUACCAGGCGUGAGAGCGCGAUCUGGCACAUCGGGACUGAGACACUGCCCGGACAUCUACGGAUGGCUGCAGCAACGAAUAUUCCGCAAUGGGCGAAAGCCUGACGGAGCGACGCCGCGUGUAGGAUGAAGCACUUCGGUGUGUAAACUACUGUCAGGGGUUAGGAAGAAAGUGACCAACCCCAAAGGAAGCCUCGGCUAACUCCGUGCCAGCAGCCGCGGUAAUACGGAGGAGGCAAGCGU